AGAGUGUUGUGGGCAAACCCGAGAUCCCAACCAUCAUUUAUAAUGUUUCAACAGGAAAUCUUUUCUGAGUUCCAAAUAACAGGCUUCAGUGAUCUUUUGGAAGAGGAUCCAUGUUUGCUGCAACAACAACCUGGAUCAUAAUGAUUCCUCAUUGAUAAAGAUUAGUUUUCACAAUCUUCCCUGAAUUUCCAGGAAUUUAGCAGACAAUAUUUAAUGAGCAGUCCCGUAUAUCUCCUUGAACUUCGUCACAGAAUUUUUGGAGGACAAGUAUCUAUGUGUGACAUUGCUGGGUCAAAGUGUUUAUUUUUUGAGAGAGAUAAGAGUGUGAGCGGGGGAA